UUGCAUCGAUGAAGAACGCAGCGAAACGCGAUAGGUAAUGUGAAUUGCAGAAUUCCGUGAAUCAUCGAAUCUUUGAACGCACCUUGCGCUCCAUGGCAUUCCGUGGAGCAUGCCUGUUUGAGUGCCGCGAAAUCUCCCACCCCUAGCGGUUGCCGCAAGGCGCCGCCGGGCGGCGGGGUUGGUUGGGUGCCGCUGCCUGGGCUUUGGCCCAGGCUCGCCCGAAAUGCAUGAGCGCUUAGCACUCGCACCGUCUCGAGGGAAGGCGGCGGAGCUGGCAUCUGCGCAUGGCAUGAUACGUCAUUUGCUGUGUGGCAGCCCAGCGACCCGAGAGUGUGUGUGCGCUACUACACGCCCUUUCAUUUCUGGUCUCAAAUCAGGUAGGAUCACCCGCUGAACUUAA
rnacentral:rRNA from 1 species